rnacentral:rRNA from 1 species
UGGGGUAUAUUGGACAAUGGGCGAAAGCCUGAUCCAGCCAUGCCGCGUGUGUGAAGAAGGUCUUCGGAUUGUAACGCACUUUAAGUUGGGAGGAAGGGCAGUAAGCGAAUACCUUGCUGUUUUGACGUUACCGACAGAAUAAGCACCGGCUAACUCUGUGCCAGCAGCCGCGGUAAUACAGAGGGUGCAAGCGUUAAUCGGAAUUACUGGGCGUAAAGCGCGCGUAGGUGGUUCGUUAAGUUGAAUGUGAAAGCCCCGGGCUCAACCUGGGAACUGCAUCCAAAACAGGCGAGCUAGAGUAGGGCAGAGGGUGGUGGAAUUUCCUGUGUAGCGGUGAAAUGCGUAGAUAUAGGAAGGAACACCAGUGGCGAAGGCGACCACCUGGGCUCAUACUGACACUGAGGUGCGAAAGCGUGGGGAGCAAACAGG